GGAGAUAUUUCAACUUUUUCCAAGGCACGUUUUUCAUCUGCUUUAUUCGACUGAGCAUCGCUGGCCACAAGAACACGUUUUUUGUCAGUGGGAACUGAUCUUUUUUGUUCGGGAUAGAGGCACUGCUCAUGACUUCUCUUGAACCAGAGGAAAGAGUCCAGCAUUUCUUUUCCUGACGGGUGCAUGUGCUCAUCUGAAGAAAAAAAUAAAAUAAAUACCUGACACUCCCAGAGCGGCAUUUCCUUUAUUGCAUGCAGCUAGAUUGCAUGUUUUUACAGUAGGCUGUGGCUGCCUAUCAAUCGAUGGAACACUUGUUUUACUUCUUCAUUUGUGCGCAUGCUUCUACUUUUUUUAAAACUACAUUUGAAGCAUGCAUACCGAGAACUACUUAAAAAUUAUUGGUUUCUGUUUUACUUAAUUUACACCAGUACGUGCUCCCCCCCCCCCCCCCCC